rnacentral:lncRNA from 1 species
UAGUGGAAAAGCUGUCACAGGCAAAUCUAAAAUACCGAGAGCGCCGAGCUACUGACAUUGCUAAAGAUGAUCAUGAAGACAUUUAUCCAGCCUCUCCUGCUUUCCCUUCGCCCAGCCCUUCAGAAGCUUAUGUCAAGUGUGACAGGCUAGGUGAUGAAUGGGUAGAAAGUUGACAAGUGGCGACAGGCGGCUGAGUAAGUGAAAUCCUCCAUCGUUAAUUCUUGUGAUUUUUACCUUUCUGACACAAUGAACUUAUAUUAGGAUGUGUGACUAAAUAAACCAGAGUAAGAACAGCCAUUCACCAAGAAAGAGAGUCCAGAGCAGAAAGCCACACUCUCAUUUUUCUCAAGCUUCUUGAUUGCCAGAUUUCUGGAACACCAUCUGUAAUCAAGGACGCAUUAUUUAGAGUUAAGUGGGAUGAUUAGCUGUGUUGUUUUUCUCUGGAAUAUAUCUCCAGAGUACUUAGCUGAAAGUUAUGAGUCAGAAAAAUCCCAUUUCUCAUAAAUUCUCCUCUAGAUUAGAAACAAAAAAGAAAUCAGCUCAUUGGAAUUUUGAUUAAUGAGAAAAGGAGAAAGGUUUAAGGGUGAGUGCUUUGUUCCAUUGAUGUCCAUGAAAUGUAGGCCUGACACAUUCUAGUCCAAAGCAAUUGAAAAUCAUUUUAACUUUACUUUGUUUUGAGAGGCUUAGGGCUUAUUGAAUUGAGAGAAAUUGGACUGAAACAAGUAAUUUUUUUGACACAGGCUGCUAAACAGCUUGGAGACCAAGAGCCAUAAGGCCCUGGGCAGGUCAUUUAGUACAGAGUGUUGCCUUUCUCGGGAGAUGCUUUCUUCUCAAAUAAGUAUACUGAGGAACACAUCUUAGUGAUAUUCCAAGUUUUCUUUUAUAUGUCUUUAUAUUUACAAAGAGCAGCUCAUGGCAAUGAAGUUUUUGCCUCCCUCACAAUUAACAAUAACCAUCCAAUUGAGAUGAUUAUGGUCAGAGAAGAUGUAGUUGUAACCCUAUUUAGAACAGGGAGAAGAAUUCCCUGAUUCCAAUUCAAGUUUAUGAAUUCCUAUUCUGGAAAAUAUUAUGCAUUCUUUUUGAAAACCUAAGAGAAUUGUGAUUUCAUGGGACUUUUAAUUUUAGUGAUCCCAUGAAGAUGAGAAACUAUUCCUUCAUUUAACCUGCAUUUUCAUAUAAGCAUAAGGCCUCAGAUUUUUAUUUGCACACUUCCAUUUAUUUAAAAUACAUAUUUCUGAUAUUUAAAGCUCUGUAAUGAAACCAAUUUUUCAAGUUUUUUCUUCUUUUUCUGAUAUUAUAAUUAAAUUACUAAAUUACUUUCUGAUUCAACUUGCCUUAGGACAUUUGAUUUUCUAUGAUCCUUUAAAGGUUUCAUUUUUUAUUAAGUAAUAUUUAUAAACUGUCCACAUUGAUUUCUAUUGUGGGGCUCCUGUGAUGCUCUUCCUUGAAAAGUAUAAUGUUGUAUCUCUUUAGUCCUUUUGGAUUUAUUUCCCUUUAUAUUUAAAAAUAUACAAAUCAACAAUCCAGUUUGCUAAUCUUUUUAUAUUCCCUUUUGGAGUAAACUAAAAUGUGUGUGUAUAUAUACAUAUAUGUAUAUAUAUGUAUAUAUACACACAUACAUAUAUAUAAUUCUAAUGUAUAUUCCAAUAAUUAUAUUCCACUGUAUAUAUCCCAAUAAUUAGUUAAUUAAUAUAGUACAUUUUAUGGUGCCAAGACAUUUCAUACAGCACCUUAUGAACCACAUUCAUUUUUACUCAUUGAGGGGUUUUUUUACUUGUUUUUUAAUCAUCUAAAUGUAUUUUCUUCUUUGUUCCUUUUCCAAUUUUAUUACUUCAAAAUCCUCAUUUUCCUGCAAUUGAGGAAAACACUCCUUCCAUCAUUUUUUUAAACAUAAAAUGAUAUAAUAAGCAUUAUUUUCAGCUUACGUUUUCUUGAGUCUCAGAUUAAUUUCCUGAUAGUGUUUAUUCUGGGCUCAAAUCUUAACCCAUGAUAUCAUAAAAAAGUUCUAUAUCAUAGAACUUAGCCAAGAAAUUUAAUAACUCAGACACUCGAGUUCUUAAUCUGGUAUAUGAGCUUAAGAAUGAUCUAUAGGGUUUGUGGAAGUUUUAAAUGAGACAAUACAUAUCCAGUGCUUAAGAAAUACCAUUGUAAUCCCUCAGUAAACAGCAGAUUUUGCCCUCUUCCUAGGCUCUAGGAUUGAUUUACAGACUGACCCUGAAAUAAAAUGUUUUUAAGCUCACUUCAUUUGAAUAAAAUUUGUGAUAAAACAAUUUUGUUUGUGGCAUUCUGCACAGCACAGUUCUUAUUAAGGAAAAUAAGGUAUUAAUUCUGCUCUCAAGGAACUUUUGGACUGAAAUGCUAACUAACUUCUUGUGAUACACACAGGAUCAAAAUAUGCAGAAGAAGGAAGUGCUGCAGGAGAGGGAGUAAUUCAGCACCAUGAUCACCACGGGGGAUGGGAAACUAAGGGAGUGUCUUGACCAAGUUUGAGAAGAAUGAAUACAUGUGUAGCAGAAAUCAAGGACUGCAGAGGGAUGAAUAUUCCAAGUUAAUCAGCACCACAUUUCAAGUAUACGUAUAAAGUCAUGUAAUAUAGAAAUUUUACAUGUCAUAUGAAACAUUAUAAUCUAAAUUUUAGCAGGACAUGUAGAAAAUAUAUGCAGCUAUAUAAUUACUGGCGUAAGUGUGUCUUGAGGUAAAUAUUCUCUAUUUUAAAAGUAUAUGCUGUAUUUUAGAUACUAGGAAAGAAACUUUAUUAGUUUAUGAUUUUAUUUGUACUAGUCUCUUUAGAAAAAGACAAUAUAUGCUCAUGAUAAAAAAAAGUCUACUUUUGCACAGAAAAGUAUAAAGUAUAAAUUGCAGUUAACUUUGGCCAUCUUACCUUCACUUUGAAGUAUUUGUCUCUCUUAAACAUUUUUCAUUUGACUUGUAGCAAUUCUAACUGAAUAUGAAAAUCUGUACCAGGAUUCCCCUACUAGGCAAAUCACUGUGGAAUUUAGGCAACAUGAUAUUUUAAACUUUUGAAAAUUGAAUUUGAAUGCAUUUAGGUAUGAAAUCCAUUCCACAAUUCACAGCUACCACUUUAAUUUAGCUUCCAUAAACAUAGAUAGCACUUGCUUGGUUUUUGAAGGGUAACAGUUGAAUUUUGACUCCCGGAAUACACUCCAAGAUUAGCCUGUGUAUGUGUGUGUGUGUGUGUGUGCAUGUGUGUAUGCACAAAUAUGUAUUUCUCAUAAAAAUCAUGUUACACUUACUGUAUUCCACCUUGCUGUUUUUCUUAUUAAUGCAUGAUGAGCAUUUUUGCAUCCCUACUCUGAUGUUCACAGCCCAGUUGUGGUAUGGCAGUGGAAUAGGUUGUUGAGAGACCAAGAAAGAACAAAGAUGAGAUAUGAGAUGAGCUAUAAGGUUAUUUUUUGUUGUUGUUGUUUGUUUGUUUUUUGGAGAAAUACUAUUGGGGAGAGCCAGUGAUGGUAGAUUAGACAAACAUUUGGCCUAAUCUUUCUUUUCAGAUUAUCAUCUGUUGUUUUUUGUGUUUUGUUUCUUUUUCCAAAUGAAAUAUAAGAAUCAUUUGCAAAAAGAGUUAUACAACUGAUUUGAAUUUUCAUGUUCAAUUCAUAUAUCAAAUUCAUUGAAUUUAAUAAUAGCUUAUAGUACAUUAACAUUUUCAUAACAUUGGCAAUUUAUAUUGAAAAGAGGGUUAUUUAUGUUUUGAUUUUCUUUCAGGAAACCUUUUACAUGUUUUAUUAUUUUUUUAAAAAAAUAUAGUUUCUAUUAGUCUUGUUUUUAGUAUAUUCCACAGAGAAUAAUAGAAUAAAUGUGCUUCUACGUACCCAAUUUUUACCAGACAUCCUGCAUCUGUAUUUUAUUGAGACAAGUUGUUACCUCUCUCAUGGUUUAAUGUGCUUUAAACCCUGGCUUUUACUUUAUUCAGUAUUGUUGGGGUAAUAUGACUGCAGUUUUAUUCCUUGGCUGCUCUUGGUUUGCUUUUCGUUUUUACACUGCAGGGCUCAUGAUUUGCCAUGAUUUCCCCUAUGAAGACCUCUGAAGAUGUCAGACAGAAAACCCUGUGGACUGCCUCAUCAUGUUCAAAUAGCCCAUCUUAUUUCUCUCUUCUGUGUUAAUUUAGAAUGGAUAUCUUUGUAAUGUUUUUAUAUUGUAGUCUUUGAUCUACUGAUACAACACUUCAUAAAAUAUGCAUGGCCAUAUUUAAUAUAAAGGCAUUUGACACUAAUACUAAAGUGCUUUUCCUGAACUUUAGGUGAGAAGAUUAAUAAACCAUCCCACUUUUUUUCCUUUAGGAAUGUAAUAUAAUUUUACAAUAAGGUCCAUUUAAUCAUCUCCUUCUCUCAUGAAAUGACCUUGUGAAAUGAGAGAGAGGUUCUAUCUUUGGUUACAAAUGAGACUGUGAUCUUAAGUUAUUCUCCUGUGCUCAUAAAACUAAGUGAAAAACUACUUAAAAACUAAGUGAAGAGGAGAAUCACUAGGGUAUAGUAUAGUUUUAGAUAGAGAUAAUACCUGGAAGAAAAAGAAUAAAAUUAUACAUUGAUUUAUGAGGUGAGGCCAACAGGCAGUGCACAGGAACAGGGAUACUGUCUACUUUAGAGCCAAGACUGGCUAGAUAUGGAUAUACAAUCUUGAAUUACUCAGGAUCCAGAAGUGCAACUCAAAAUAAAAUAAAUCUCUCUCUCUCUCUCUCUCUCUCUCUCUCUCUCUCUCUCUCUGUAAAUUCUCUAAUUUUGAAUAUUUUCUUAUAGCAAGAGAAAAUAAAUCAAAAUAGAUAAGUUGGGAAGAAAUGCACACAUCUAAAGGGAUAAUGAAAUCUUUUAUAGUAGAGUCAGUAACUCAGGCCAACACCAGUGGCCAAGAAAGAAGGCCACUUGCUGGAUAGAGUACAUUCACUCUAUAUCACACACCGACACACAAACACACAUGCAGUUUUAGUUACACUGUUGACUAAUUUCUUAAAUAUUGAAAAAUUUACACUAUGUUUAGGUAACAUUGACCACCAAAGCUUUUACAAUUUGUUUUUCUCUGUAAUUCCAUGGAUCUUUGCCCAGAUAUCUAUGCAUCUGUUGCAUGUCUCAUUAUUACCUUUUUAAAUUAUCUAUCUCUUGCAUGGGCCUAUAAUCCCAAGAGCUCUGGAGGCUGACGCAGGAGAAUUUCAAGGUUAAGGUCAGCCUCAGCAAUUUAGUGAGGAUUUAAUCGACUUAAAGAGACCCUGUCUCAAAUUAAAAAAUAAAAAAAGGGCUGAAAAUGUGUCUCAGUGGUAAAGCACCCCUGGGUUUAAUCCUUUGUACCAAAUAAUUUUAAAAAAUUAAAAAUUAAUAAAUUUUGUCUCUUUCUGUGAGUCACAAACUUCUUGAGGAGAAAGACCUGUGUAAUUUAAAAUUAUACAGAUAAUUCAAUUACUUUUUACUUAUAAUCAAUAAGUAGAUGCAUGGUUACAAGAAAAAUGUUAUAUUAGUUCAGAAGAUCAAGAAAACAGAAAAAUCGGUGAAACAGAUUAUCAGACACCAGAAUUGUUAAAAUUGUUUAUUGGGUAACUUUUAAUGUUCUUUGAAAAUGUGUAUGGUGUAACAUGUUAGACUUAACCACAGUGAUUUUCCUGUUACUGCAAAUCUAAUUUAUGUUGGAUUUCAACUGAUAAUGAUGCUUAAAAGUGCAAGAGAUGGUAUCAGUCUUUUCAGUAUUUUGUUGAGAAAGAAAAACAUUCAUUUUAAAUGAAUGCUUUGACCUACAGGUAUUUUUGUAUCCAAAAGAUGCAAUGGCAUCUCUUAGAUAAGAUUUGCCCUUUUGUUGCAUGUAAUAUUUAUAUACUCUGUAGGUACUAGAGAUUCAGAAACUUAAUUAUAAUUUUUUUCCUUGCAGAAACUCCUCUUUACAUUAUGAAUAAUUCACUAUUCUUACUUCUUUGAACUCAAUUGUAGAACUGAACAUUGGCUAAUUUUUCAAUUCUACUUUUCUCUCAAGUGAAAUUAAACAAAAAUAAAUAAAUAAAUAAAUAAAUAAGAACUGAUCAGAAAACUAAUGACUUUAGAUGAGUAUAAUUUCAUGUAAAUUCUGAAAGAUUUGGUGAUUGAUAUUGAUUUCUACUUCAUUGUUCAUUUCCUCUUGUUACAACAAUCUAGUUCCAAAUGUGACAAAAUGGCACUUUCGUUGCUACACCUGCAAAUUUUAUAAAGUUUGUUAAAACUUUGGGUAGAUUAAGAAAUAAAGGGUAAAAUUACUAAACAAAAAUCAUAUUCAUUACAAAAUUGCAUUUCCAGUUCUGUAGUACUGAAUUUACCUGUUUAAAAAAUUGACCUGCUAGCAUAUUUGAUCAUGUACUAAAAAAGAAAAUACCCCUAAAAGGAGAAAUAAUAUAAACAAUGAAGUGAAAAAACAGGUAGAAUCAUAUUUAUUUUUAAUUUAUUUAGUAUCCCAGGUGCCAAUAGCAGAGACUUAUCAUCAUAAGUAAGCUUUUAACUAAUAUUCAGAUAAUUUUUAAGUGUUUUUAUAAGAAUCUUUUUUGGAUUCUAAAUCAUAUGCUACUGUAAGGAAAGUUUAUUAUCCCCAUGUUAGAAGCGAGUCAAAUAAAAUAGCAAAAGUUAAAUAAUCAAGAAAAUAUAGCUGAAAAUGAAUUGGUUUUUCAACUCAUUGCUUUUACAGCCUCCUCCGAAGUGCUCUAUAGAUAUCU